AUUGAACGCUGGCGGCAGGCCUAACACAUGCAAGUCGAGCGAGCGGCGGACGGGGGCGUAAUGUAUGGGGACUGCCCGUGAGCGGGGGAUAACUCCUGGAAACGGUGGAUAAUACCCCAUAUUGUAGGAUAACCCAUAUGGGAUUAGCUAGUAGGUAAGGUAAUGGCUUACCUAGGCGACGAUCCCUAGCGGGUCUGAGAGGAGGAGCAGCCACACUGGGACUGAGACACGGUCCAGACUCCUACGGAGGCAGCAGUGGGGAAUAUUGCACAAUGGGCGCAAGCCUGAUGCAGCCAUGCCGCGUGUAUGAAGAAGGCCCUAGGGUUGUAAAGUACUUUCAGUGGGGAGGCGUUACCGACAGAAGAAGCACCGGCUAACUCCGUGCCAGCAGCCGCGGUAAUAC
rnacentral:rRNA from 1 species